GAGGAAAUAGAUUCUUCGGAGCGGAUGAGCAGGAUGAGGUUAGCCGGAGAGAGACGGCUUUGCUGCAGAAACGAGUCCGCAACGCUCCGAAGCUAGAUACUCAUGACCGCCUCUUUGG
rnacentral:ribozyme from 1 species